GAUGAACCGUUCAUUAGGCGAGGCGGCGUCACCGGCCCCCCCCCUUUUGAAUUUUAAUCUUCUUCCAUGAAGAAGAGUGUUUCUUUCCCUGUGCGUUCUGGUUUCUCAGAGAACCAGAAAUCUGUUUUGCUCGGCGAAUUAACCAGCUGCUGCAUCUUCAAUUCUGCAUCGCUCCGUACUCACAAUAUGUUUCGUUUGUUCUGCUCCGUGAUAUAAGAACUCACACGAGUGGUCAAAUCAAGUUCACCAAACCUUCCUUUGGCGAAUUGUGUUUUUUUCCAAGUCCAAGGUGGAUGGAAGCAACCUCGAGGCAUCCCUCACAGGAAGGUGCUUUGACUUUGUCUUCGGUUGUUUGUUAAAUCUUUCCAGUGAGAAUUUUCUCAUGCUAGUUUCCAUCAGCUUGGAAAAUUAACUUGAUUAUGUUUCCCACGAAAAAGGAAAUUUAAGAAUUAAAAAAAAAAAAAACCUUAGAAUUCAAAUCAAUGUUGUGCAUGCGCUAAUCUUUACCGGUCCACCUAACGACCCGUUCAUUUCUUACCUCUUUGACUGGAUAGACACCAUCAGUUUCUUCAUCGGUAUAACAGCCAGCCGCCCUCCUUAGCCAUCACUUCCUAGUUAAAAUAUUAUUCCACUCUCCAUUUUGGCCACCUUCUAGUCUUAUUAUUUGGAUCGUAAUUGUGUUUUACCCUAUUCUAGGAUUUUCCUCUGUUUACCAAUGUUGAAUUCUCAAUCUUAAAAAACUGACUAUAGCAAGGAUUGUCCAUGUUUAUCUGGUUGGUUUGAUAUGGGACCAGUGACGUCAAUAUUUUCUUGCAUUAAUAACUGAUAACACUGUUUCCUUGCAUCUUUACCUGCUUGACUUGAUAUGAGUCAUAACUGAUUUACACUGUUUCCUUGUAUUAAUAUUUCCAAUGGAAAAGACGUUGGAAGAUGAACCCACUAUAAUACCAAUGACUGUUUCAUUAUAAGAUAUCGUAUUGCAUUUAGGAAUUCCUCACCUGAAGCCAUGAUGGCUCUCUCUGAGAUCUUCUCUCAACUUUGCACCAAGGCCGUAGUCCUGUUGGCUCUGCUUCUAAUACAAGUUAUGGUCCUCGUAAAGAAGCUCAGGUCAGACACACGUCCAGUUAAUACCACCCAAUAUCUCAAACUUAUCGAACAGAAGAACCCCACAAUUUGUUUCACCAAGAGGUUGAGGCAAGAAGGUGCUGAGUGCAGGGUGUGCUUAUCUGAAUUCCAGGAAGGGGAAAAGGUGAGGAACUUGAAAUGUAAACACACAUUUCACAGAGAUUGCUUGGACAAGUGGUUGCAGCAAUAUUGGGCUACCUGCCCUCUUUGCAGGAACCAAGUUCUGCCAGAAGAUGUUGUGGCCAAGUAUCGUGAACUUCAGAAUCAGAGGGACUACGUCUUCUCCUUUUGGGAUCUCGCUGAAUAAUUUGGAUGUACCUUCUGCUAGAUUGAAGGAGACGAGUCAUGGGAGAUAUUUUGAGAAAAAAGGUAGAGGUUUUAAUUAAUUCUGGUGUCCCACAUCUGAAGU